rnacentral:rRNA from 1 species
GAUGAACGCUGGCGGCGUGCCUAAUACAUGCAAGUAGAACGCUGAAGCUUGGUGCUUGCACCGAGCGGAGGAGUUGCGAACGGGUGAGUAACGCGUAGGUAACCUGCCUCUUAGCGGGGGAUAACUAUUGGAAACGAUAGCUAAUACCGCAUAAAAGUCGACAUUGCAUGAUGUUGACUUGAAAGGUGCAACUGCAUCACUAAGAGAUGGACCUGCGUUGUAUUAGCUAGUUGGUGAGGUAACGGCUCACCAAGGCGACGAUACAUAGCCGACCUGAGAGGGUGAUCGGCCACACUGGGACUGAGACACGGCCCAGACUCCUACGGGAGGCAGCAGUAGGGAAUCUUCGGCAAUGGACGGAAGUCUGACCGAGCAACGCCGCGUGAGUGAAGAAGGUUUUCGGAUCGUAAAGCUCUGUUGUAAGAGAAGAACGAGUGUGAGAGUGGAAAGUUCACACUGUGACGGUAACUUACCAGAAAGGGA